rnacentral:rRNA from 1 species
GACGAACGCUGGCGGCGUGCCUAAUACAUGCAAGUCGAACGCAGUGGGGACGGGUGAUUAACACGUGGGUAACCUCCCAUCAGAGGGGAUAACACUUGGAAACAGGUGCUAAACCGAUACUGAUGUAGGGACCCGUGGUGCAUUAGCUUGUUGGUGGGGUAACGGCUCACCAAGGCCACGAUGCAGAGCGGACCUGAGAGGGUGAUCGGCCACACUGGGACUGAGACACGGCCCAGACUCCUACGGGAGGCAGCAGUAGGGAAGCUUCGGCAAUGGACGAAAUCCUGACCGAGCAACGCCGCGUGAAUGAAGAAGGUUUUCGGAUCGUAAAACUCUGUCGUCAGAGAAGCGGUAUCUAACCAGAAAGCCACGGCUAACUACGUGCCAGCAGCCGCGGUAAUAC